CACCUCCCCUAGCAAGUAGCUGUCGGGUGCCAGCGGCCGCGCCGGCAUCUCCGCCCCGGGCCAGCGCGGGCGCUCAAGCCUCGGCGGCGCGAUAAUGGCCGCCUUGCAUCGAGCGGCGAAGCUGUCGAACCUCCAUCUCUCAAUCCCGGUCAAUCCCAACACCGGAGUGCGGGUCGCCCAGUACGAACGCAAAGACCCCUUAGAGUCCCUGUCGGCGGCGGUGGCGGCCUUGGAGGGAGAGGAAGAAGAAGAGGAAGAGGAAAAGAAGAAGGCGGCUCGGCCGGCGCGGGCGCCGGCUGAUUUUAACACCAACGUUCCUGGGGUGGACGAACAAAAACGUAUAUCCCAUGAGGAUUUUGUGGACUUUUCUGAUAUUUAUCACUCUAAUGAAGAGUAUUUCAGGAAACUAGAAGAACUGAAGGCUGCUUACUUGGAAACUAUGGCAAAGUUAGAGAAAAUGUACCAGAAUAAACUACAUUUAAAAGAAGUUCAGCCAGCAAUCAUCAGGGAAGAAGCUUCUAGUGUCUCUUCUGGGUCCGUAUCAGAAAGGAACUCCUAUUGCCCUGUCUCGUUAAUGACAUCAAUUUCAGAGCCUGAUUUAAGUCAGUCUUCCUCCUUGAUUGUGUCUUCCUCUGAAGAUGAGUUGCCCAGCUUAGAGAAAGAGUAUCCGGAGAAAAACAGAAUGAUGACCUAUGCUAAGGAGCUCAUCAACAACAUGUGGACAAACUUCUCUGUUGAAGAUUAUAUUCGAUAUGAAGAUGCUGACUUGCCAGCGUGUGAAAAAACAAAGAAGAAACCAAAAGAAUGGGUGCCAAGGAUUACAGUGCCUGAGCCUUUUCAAAUGAUGAUUAGAGAGCAGAAGAAAAAAGAAGAGAACAUGAAAUCUAAAUCAGAGGCUGAAAUGGUACGCAAACUGCUCAAAAAACAAGAAGAAGAAUCAGAAUGUAAGAAAAAAUUCCGAGCCAAUCCAGUUCCCGCGUUUGUUUUUCUCCCCCUUUAUCACGAUAUAGUCAAACAAAAUGAAGAAAAGAGGAGGUCUAUGAAGGAGAAAAACAAAGAAGCUCUUUUGGCCUCGCAAAAGCCAUUUAAGUUCAUUGCAAGGGAGGAACAGAAGCAAGCAAUUCGGAAAAAGCAGCUGAAAGACUUUUUUAAGUCUGAAAAGAAAACAAAUCGAUUUAAAGCUAGACCUAUACCUCGAUCUACUUAUGGUUCAACUAUCACGGACAGGUUAGCAGAAGAAGAGCUCUAUAGAAACAUUAGGACUCAGCAAAGAGCCCAAGAGCUUUUACAGAAUUCAUCCCCUCUGACUUAUAGACCAGCUCGUAGAAGUCUUGCUUCAAGGAAGCCCAAGUGUCCUGAACAGGCUGAAAAGUCAAAGUAUAAACACAAGUUUAAGGGCCAGACUGUUGAUUCUGAAAACCUUCCUGAAAGAUAUCAGAAACACCACUCAGAACAGAAGUGUCCAAAGCUCCUAACAGUCUGUGAACCAUCUGACCUUCACACCACCUCACAUGCAUCCGCUGAAAGAGAGAAAAUUUUGGCAGACAUUGAAGCAGAUGAAGAAAAUUUGAAAGAAACACGUUGGCCUUACCUGUCUCCAAGGCGCAAGUCACCAGUAGAAAGUGCAGGUGCGAAGCCUGCACCUUAUAGCUGCAACCCUCCAAUGCCCACUGUGUCCUCCAGAGGAAGAGAGCUAGCCACAAGGAGAUCACUUGAGGAAAAGAAAAUGUUGGAAGAAGAGAGAAAUCGGAUCCUAACUAAGCAGAAGCAAAGAAUGAAAGAAUUGCAGAAACUCCUGACGACUCGGGCUAAGGCUUAUGACUCACAUCAGAGUUUAGCUCAGAUGUCUAAAUCCAGAGUGAAAUCUCUCAGGUAUCAGGAGAGAAUCCUGACCCUGCAGAUCAUUGAUUUUCAAACUUUUUUUUUAAUCAGUGGACCCCAAUUUAUGAACAGAUUAAGAAUAGUAUUAGUAUUUCAGUUUAUGGAUUCAAGUUACUAUCAGUUACUUAUAAUUAACAUACACACACACACAUUCACUGACUUCAUGUGAGAACCAACAUGUAUUCUCACCUCGUGGUGAGGACCAUGACACCAUGUUGAUGAGCAGAAACAUUUCUGAUUGCAGCCAUAGUUAAUAUUUGUGAUCUUAUAUCAUCAUCUAAUCUUGUUCUUUAUAUUAUUUUUUAUUGCACAGUACAAUAUUGAGAAAAAUCUUGAUUCAGAUAAAGCUCUUUUUUAACAGCUUGCCGUAUAUCUCAGAACAUUCUUCCAUAAACAGAUAUGUCAGAGAGCUUUGUUCUAAGGUCUGCAUGAAAUCUGAUAGCACAAAUUAACACAUUGAUGUUAAUUACCAUCAGUUUUGUGAUGUGUCAGUUAGCACAUGCGUUAAUAUUUAGUGGUAUGUGUUACACAGUGGAAUUCUGCAGUACAAAGUUUGAAAAUCAGUGUUCCAGAGGGACAUUUUUAUGUUGCAAAAAAUGUUCAUGUUUAUUUAAGUAGUAAAAUAGCUCCCCCCAAUCUGGGUAAGUAAUAUGAUUUAUUAAUUUUUAAUCUGACUUAUAAAUACUCCCAAAAUCUAUAUUUGCUUUAAAUUAUGAGUAUUCCUCUAAAAAUGUAUAUUAUGUAUCAUAAUUAUUAUAUUCCUUUAUAAUGUAUAUUAUGUAUAUAUUCUUUAUAAUGUACAUCAGUGUAAUUCACUGAUAGAAAGAGCUUGAUUUGAUGAACUUGAGCAAAAAAAUCCUUAGAAAUACACUCUUCAUCCUUAGAAAGUAAGCUGGAUAAUAAUAAUGCUAAAUUGUAAUUAACCAUAAUUAUCAUUUUAUAGUAUUAUUAUUUUUUCUAAUCCAUGAAAUCUUUUGCUCUUGGUAGAGUUAGUAUGGUUUACUUAGAGAAAAUAGCAUAAAUUUUUUGUUGAAGUAUAACUGAUUUACAAUGUUGUGUUAAUCUCUGGUGUACAGCGUAGUAAUUCAGUUACAUAUAUAUACAUAUAUAUGUAUUCUUUUUCAUGUUCUUUUCCAUUAUGGUUUAUUACAUGAUGAGAAAAUAGCAUAAUUUAAUUCAUUAUAGGACCUUGUUCAAAGUAAGUAUAUUUCCUGUGAAUUUAUGUAUUUUGGUUCUUGUUCCUCUGUGUAUUGUAUUCCCAUACUCCCCAUUUCUCCCCUGACCUGCUCCAUUUACUUUGCUACCAAGCUCUAGAAGGUCUCACUUAGGGGAAAAAAGAAGAGCAAAGUCUUGUUUUCAGAAGAAAUUCCCUAAAGAGAAGAUAUUUGAUUUGGACCAAAUUUUCUUGGUUUUACAUACUUACAAAUGAGAUAAGAGGGCAUUCAUCGAUCUCUUCGGGCCGGUUUGAAGCCCUUAAAAGAGUGAAAAGGAAAGGAUGAGAAAAUACCGACAAGAACUAGAAGAAAGAGAAGAAAAAUUAAAAAGCAGGCCGCUGCUAUUUGAAAGAGUUGCUCAG